CCCGCACAAGCAGUGGAGUAUGUGGUUUAAUUCGAAGCAACGCGAAGAACCUUACCAGGGCUUGACAUCCCUUGAAGCAGCUAGAGAUAGCUGUGUCCUUCGGGACAAGGAGACAGGUGUGCAUGGUUGUCGUCAGCUCGUGUCGUGAGAUGUUGGGUUAAGUCCCGCAACGAGCGCAACCCCUGUGGUUAGUUGCCAGCAAGUAGCGUUGGGCACUCUAGCCAGACUGCCGGUGAUAAAUCGGAGGAAGGUGGGGACGACGUCAAAUCAUCAUGCCCUUUAUGUCCUGGGCUACACACGUACUACAAUGGUUGGUACAACGAGUUGCGAGUCGGUGACGGCGAGCUAAUCUCUUAAAGCCAAUCUCAGUUCGGAUUGUAGGCUGCAACUCGCCUACAUGAAGUCGGAAUCGCUAGUAAUCGCGGAUCAGCACGCCGCGGUGAAUACGUUCCCGGGCCUU
rnacentral:rRNA from 1 species